rnacentral:rRNA from 1 species
GUGUCAGCCGCCGCGGUAAUACGUAGGGUGCAAGCGUUAAUCGGAAUUACUGGGCGUAAAGCGUGCGCAGGCGGUUCGGAAAGAGAGGUGUGAAAUCCCAGGGCUUAACCUUGGAACUGCACUUUUAACUCCCGAGCUAGAGUAUGUCAGAGGGGGGUGGAAUUCCGCGUGUAGCAGUGAAAUGCGUAGAUAUGCGGAGGAACACCGAUGGCGAAGGCAGCCCCCUGGGAUAAUACUGACGCUCAUGCACGAAAGCGUGGGGAGCAAACAGGAUUAGAUACCCUGGUAGUCCACGCCCUAAACGAUGUCAACUAGCUGUUGGGGCCUUCGGGCCUUAGUAGCGCAGCUAACGCGUGAAGUUGACCGCCUGGGGAGUACGGUCGCAAGAUUAAAACUCAAAGGAAUUGACGGGG